UAAAUCCUGAGAUGUGCGCUAAGCUUAUAAUAUUCAACCUACAUUAUUGAUACGGGAUUUGCAACAACUAAAACAAUGUCAGGCUUCAGUAAUUCACUUUAUGUGGCAGGAGAAGGCAGCGAAUUAGUGAGCUUAACCCACCUGCGAGCCGCAGGUAUGAAUAUUUAAGUGAACGGCAUGUUGGGAAUAUA
rnacentral:other from 2 species